UAUGCAAUGAGUUUAAGCUCAAAACAUCCUGCAAAUAUACAUACACAUAAUGAAAGAAAGAAAGAAAAAACAGAAAAAAAGAUUACAUAUUUAUAUGUUUCUUUUUUUUUUUUUUUUUUUUUUUUCUUUUUCCUAAUUUGUGUAAUUUUUAUAAAAACAGGAAGGAAGGUCUGAGAUGCUGCAUUUAAAGAAUAGAAAAAAAAGUUAUAACAUUCAUUGUUACUUUUUAUUUCAUAUAUAUAUAUAUAUAUAUAUAUAUAUAUAUAUAUAUUCUUUAAUAAAAUUUUUGAGAGAAAAAGUAUUGAACAAAUAUUAAUUAGUUACCAGAAAUAUCAAUCAUAUAUUUAAAAUUUCGUAAGAAAUUUUGUGUAUGAUUUUGAAAAAGCUAAUAAGCAAGUAUACAUUGGUGAGUUCGAUUUUUGAGGUUUUUCUUUAUUCCUACAUCUCAUAUAUCAAUAUUUUUUUUAUAAUGUAUACGAGAUGUUAAUAAGAAAAAUAACUUAAUUCAGACUACUCCUAAAUUCAUUGCUACAA